GACUUUUUUUCACCCAAAUGAAAAAGGCAUCUCUGCAAGAUUCUGCCACUUUCCCUGGAAAAACAUCGCAAUUCGCCGCUGAGUGCUGGUUCGACGACGCAUGCAUCCUCAAUAUGGACUAUUUCGUUAAGACCUUAGCCGGGAUUAAGGCUAAGGGUGUCCGUCCUGACCUUAUUGGCUCAAUCAUAGCUCACUACGCCUCCAAAUGGCUACCUGAGCUUUCUGGUGAUAAUGCUUGUGACAGAGGACUAACCAACUUUGAAGAAUCACCCGAAAGUGUCACAGCUUCAUGGAUGAAGAAGAGAUUUUUUGUUGAAACUCUAGUGGGUGUCUUGCCUCCAGAGAAGGACUCAAUUCCAUGCAACUUCCUGCUUCGCCUUCUCCGGACGGCAAACAUGGUUGCUGUAGAGCCUACGUAUAGAGCAGAGCUUGAGAAGAGGAUUUCAUGGCAGCUCGACCAAGCUUCACUGAAAGAGCUAAUGAUACCAUCUUUUAGCCACACUUGUGGGACCUUACUAGACGUUGAGCUAGUGACACGGUUAGUGAAGAGAUUUGUUAAUUUGGAUGAGGCAGCUAAGAGUGGAGCUGCUGCUUUAAUUAAGGUAGCUAAGCUUGUGGACUCUUAUUUAGCAGAAGCAGCUGUGGAUGCUAAUUUGAGUUUGUCAGAGUUUGAUGAUCUUGCUUCUGCUCUCCCUAGCCAUG
rnacentral:misc_RNA from 1 species